rnacentral:rRNA from 1 species
UGAGGAAUAUUGGUCAAUGGGCGAGAGCCUGAACCAGCCAAGUCGCGUGAGGGAGUACUGCCCUAUGGGUUGUAAACCUCUUUUGUCGGGGAGCAAAAGCCGGACGUGUCCGUCUGUGAGAGUACCCGAAGAAAAAGCAUCGGCUAACUCCGUGCCAGCAGCCGCGGUAAUACGGAGGAUGCGAGCGUUAUCCGGAUUUAUUGGGUUUAAAGGGUGCGCAGGCGGAUUUUUAAGUCAGCGGUCAAAUCGUGGGGCUCAACCCCAUCCAGCCGUUGAAACUGGGGAUCUAGAGUGUGCGAGAGGUAUGCGGAAUGCGUGGUGUAGCGGUGAAAUGCAUAGAUAUCACGCAGAACCCCGAUUGCGAAGGCAGCAUACCGGUGCACAACUGACGCUCAGGCACGAAAGCGUGGGUAUCGAACAGG